rnacentral:rRNA from 1 species
AUUGAACGCUGGCGGCAGGCCUAACACAUGCAAGUCGAGCGGAUGAGAGGAGCUUGCUCUUCGAUUCAGCGGCGGACGGGUGAGUAAUGCCUAGGAAUCUGCCUAGUAGUGGGGGACAACGUUUCGAAAGGAACGCUAAUACCGCAUACGUCCUACGGGAGAAAGUGGGGGAUCUUCGGACCUCACGCUAGUAGAUGAGCCUAGGUCGGAGUAGCUAGUUGGUAGGGUAACGGCCUACCAAGGCGACGAUCCGUAACUGGUCUGAGAGGAUGAUCAGUCACACUGGAACUGAGACACGGUCCAGACUCCUACGGGAGGCAGCAGUGGGGAAUAUUGGACAAUGGGCGAAAGCCUGAUCCAGCCAUGCCGCGUGUGUGAAGAAGGCCCUCGGGUCGUAAAGCACUUUAAGUUGGGAGGAAGGGCUUACAGCGAAUACCUGUGAGUUUUGACGUUACCGACAGAAUAAGCACCGGCUAACUUCGUGCCAGCCGCCGCGGUAA